UACGUAGGGGGCAAGCGUUGUCCGGAAUCAUUGGGCGUAAAGAGCGUGUAGGCGGCUUGGUAAGUCCGCUGUGAAAGUCCAGGGCUCAACCCUGGAAUGCCGGUGGAAACUGUCAAGCUUGAGUCCGGAAGAGGCGAGUGGAAUUCCUGGUGUAGCGGUGAAAUGCGCAGAUAUCAGGAGGGACACCAAUGGCGAAGGCAGCUCGCUGGGACGGUACUGACGCUGAGACGCGAAAGCGUGGGGAGCAAACAGG
rnacentral:rRNA from 1 species